UCUAACAUGUGCGCGAGUCAUUGGGCUCUGCGAAACCUAAAGGCGAAAUGAAAGUGAAGGCCGAGCCUUUCGGCUGAGGCUUAGGGGUGAUGACCGUUCCUUAACCGGGCGGUCCGCAGCCCCGGGGCGUCUCAUUCUCUUUGAGAAGUGGCGCACCCAGAGCGUACACGUUGGGACCCGAAAGAUGGUGAACUAUGCCUGGCCAGGACGAAGUCAGGGGAAACCCUGAUGGAGGUCCGUAGCGAUUCUGACGUGCAAAUCGAUCGUCGGAGCUGGGUAUAGGGGCGAAAGACUAAUCGAACCAUC
rnacentral:rRNA from 1 species